CUGUCCUGAACCUAAAGACCCAGAAUGUGAUGAGCUCCUGUUUUUAAACGCGCUGCUGCUUUUCCGUCAACUGGGCUUCCAGAUACAAAGCCCAGAAGCUUCCCCUCGCUGAAUGGUAACCAGCGCACCGCUACUGACAGCAAACACAGUCUAGCUCUUGCUACAAAAAUGACCAUGGAAGGAUUCUGACUCUCCAAUCCUGAUCACAAACCCACCAUCUGUACUCAUCACUGUGGCCAGAGAGUUUUUAAAAUCUAGACUUAGAUUCUUGGCAACCAGUGAAAAGACAGUCAUGCAUCUGCCCAGUCUGCUGCAAUGUAUUUUUUUCUGGACUUAGCAGAAAACUCAAGGUUUCUGCCAUAUUUCUUUUUUUUAUUCUGUGUCCUGCAGUUCAUCUAAUCAUCUCAUGCUGGCUUUCUCUGUUAGAUAUUGUUUUGUAGAGUAACCCAAUUAAAUAUGGCCCCAUUUAAUGCAGUGGGCCUUUAUUUGGGUCUGGUUUCAAAGUAUUAUCUUGUAAUUUUCCAAGCCUUAUUGAUUUACCUUUUUAAAAAAAAAUUCCCUGGUGGUGUAUCUGCUGCAGCAGCUAGCAUGGCAUCACAAUAAAUCCUCCUGAACAGAUUUGCACGCAGAAGACAGCUGUAAGCAAAGCUCAUUGUAUGUCACACAAUGCCCUUUAAAGGAGAUCCUCAUUUGUCCAUUGUCUGAGGAUUGAAUAGAAACUGAAGACUUUUUAACUGACCUGGUUUUUCACUAAAUGUGUGAGUUUCUGCAUAUUGUUUGUGUUGUUUUCACAG
rnacentral:lncRNA from 1 species